CCGGUAGUUCAGCCCGGUUAGGGAAUGCCCCGGAGAGAACGUCCGCCUUACACGCGGAAACCCUUUCGAGGCCGCAUGGUCGGGAGUUCGAAUCUCCCCCGGCCCACCA
rnacentral:tRNA from 1 species